rnacentral:rRNA from 1 species
GUGGGGAAUAUUGGACAAUGGGGGGAACCCUGAUCCAGCCAUGCCGCGUGUGUGAAGAAGGCCUUUUGGUUGUAAAGCACUUUAAGCGAGGAGGAGGCUACCGAGAUUAAUACUCUUGGAUAGUGGACGUUACUCGCAGAAUAAGCACCGGCUAACUCUGUGCCAGCAGCCGCGGUAAUACAGAGGGUGCAAGCGUUAAUCGGAUUUACUGGGCGUAAAGCGCGCGUAGGUGGCCAAUUAAGUCAAAUGUGAAAUCCCCGAGCUUAACUUGGGAAUUGCAGUCGAUACUGGUUGGCUAGAGUAUGGGAGAGGAUGGUAGAAUUCCAGGUGUAGCGGUGAAAUGCGUAGAGAUCUGGAGGAAUACCGAUGGCGAAGGCAGCCAUCUGGCCUAAUACUGACACUGAGGUGCGAAAGCAUGGGGAGCAAACAGGAUUAGAUACCCUUGUAGUCC